UACAGAGGUCUCAACCGUUGUUCGGAUUCAUUGGGCGUAAAGGGUGCGUAGGCGGUCGCGUAAGUCGGAUGUGAAAUCUCAGGGCUCAACCCUGAAACUGCAUUCGAUACUGCGUGGCUAGGGUACUGGAGAGGAGACUGGAAUUUACGGUGUAGCAGUGAAAUGCGUAGAUAUCGUAAGGAAGACCAGUGGCGAAGGCGAGUCUCUGGACAGUUACCGACGCUGAGGCACGAAGGUCAGGGGAGCAAACGGG
rnacentral:rRNA from 1 species